CGGAUGAGAGGAGCUUGCUCCUCGAUUCAGCGGCGGACGGGUGAGUAAUGCCUAGGAAUCUGCCUAGUAGUGGGGGACAACGUUUCGAAAGGAACGCUAAUACCGCAUACGUCCUACGGGAGAAAGUGGGGGAUCUUCGGACCUCACGCUAUUAGAUGAGCCUAGGUCGGAUUAGCUAGUUGGUAGGGUAAAGGCCUACCAAGGCGACGAUCCGUAACUGGUCUGAGAGGAUGAUCAGUCACACUGGAACUGAGACACGGUCCAGACUCCUACGGGAGGCAGCAGUGGGGAAUAUUGGACAAUGGGCGAAAGCCUGAUCCAGCCAUGCCGCGUGUGUGAAGAAGGCCCUCGGGUCGUAAAGCACUUUAAGCUGGGAGGAAGGGCUUACAGCGAAUACCUGUGAGUUUUGACGUUACCGACAGAAUAAGCACCGGCUAACUUCGUGCCAGCGCCGCGGUAAUACGAAGGGUGCAGCGUUAUCGGAAUUACUGGGCGUAAAGCGCGCGUAGGUGGCUUGAUAAGUUGGAUGUGAAAUCCCCGGGCUCACCUGGGAACUGCAUCCAAACUGUCUGGUAGGUGCGGAGAGGGAGUGGAAUUUCAGUGUACGGUGAAAUGCGAGAUUUGGAGGAACCCGUGGCGAAGCUACUCCUGGCUGACCUGACCUGAGUGCGAAACGUGGGAGCAACAGGAUAGAUACCUGGUAUCCACCCGUAACGAUGUCACUAUCGUUGGACCUUGAUUCUUGUGCGCACUACGCUUAAUUGCCGCUGGGAGACGCCGCAGGUAAACUCAAUGAUUGCGGG
rnacentral:rRNA from 1 species